rnacentral:rRNA from 1 species
UACGUAGGCAGCAAGCGUUGUUCGGAGUUACUGGGCGUAAAGGGUGUGUAGGCGGUUGUUUAAGUUUGGUGUGAAAUCUCCCGGCUCAACCGGGAGGGUGCGCCGAAUACUGAAUGACUAGAGUGCGGGAGAGGAAAGUGGAAUUCCUGGUGUAGCGGUGAAAUGCGUAGAUAUCAGGAGGAACACCGGUGGUGUAGACGGCUUACUGGACCAUAACUGACGCUGAGACACGAAAGCGUGGGUAGCAAACAGG